GACGAACGCUGGCGGCGUGCUUAACACAUGCAAGUCGAACGGAAAGGCCCUGCUUUUGUGGGGUGCUCGAGUGGCGAACGGGUGAGUAACACGUGAGUAUCCUGCCCUUGACUUUGGGAUAAAUUCAGGAAACUGGGGCUAAUACCGGAUAGGAGCUACUGCUGCAUGGUGGGGGUUGGAAAGUUUCGGCGGUUGGGGAUGGACUCGCGGCUUAUCCGCUUGUUGGUGGGGUAGUGGAUUACCAAGCCUGUGACGGGUAGCCGGCCUGAGAGGGUGACCGGGCACAAUGGGCCUGAGAGACGGAGCAGACUGCUACGGGAGGCAGCAGUGGGGAGUAUUGCACAACGGGCCGAAGCCUGAUGCAGCAACGCCGCGUGCGGGAUGACGUCCUUCGGGUGGUAAACCGCUGUCGCAGGUGACGUAGCGUGAGUGACGGUAAUGGGUAAAAAAGCACCGGCUAACUACGUG
rnacentral:rRNA from 1 species